rnacentral:tRNA from 1 species
GGGAGUAUAGCCAAAUGGAAAGGCAAAGGUCUGCAAAACCUUCAAUUCUGGUUCGAAUCCAGAUACUCCCUC